rnacentral:tRNA from 1 species
ACCUGGCUGGUUUAGUUGGUGGAGCAUGCAAUUUUUGAUCUCAGGGUUAUGGGUUCAAGUCCCAUGUUGGGUG